GGCAGCUAUCCAGGUCUGAAUGUUGGGGCCGAAGCCCAUUACCCGUAGGGUCUCCCUCAGGAACUGCCAGUCUACUCUAUCAAAAGCCUUCUCGGCAUCCGUGGAGAGCAGGAGGCCCCCGCCUGCAGUUCCCUUGGUGGCAUGUAUGAGGUUGAGGGCCCUGAUGGUAUUAUCCUUUGCCUCACGCCCCGGGAUGAACCUGGUCUGAUCUGGGUGAACCAGGUCUGGAG